rnacentral:misc_RNA from 1 species
AAAUGUAGGAAAUCCACAAAAGCUCACAAACAAUGGCUGUCAUUGCUCUAUAUUCUGCCUCAGCAGAUGAUUUAGACACUGUGGCUUGCAUCUUUGUUUUCCAAGAUGCAAGAGCACCUCCAAGAAAGAUGCAAUAACCAGUGAGAGACUUCCUGCUGAAGGCACAAGAGGCCCAAUCCGCAUCACAAAAAGCAGUGAGCUGCAAAGAGUUAUCUACAGGAAAAAAUAAGCCCUUAGAAGGACAUGAUUUGAGGUACUUGACAACAUGAAGAGCUGCUACCCAAUGCGGCUUUCUAGGUGCA